AAUGUAGUGCCUGAAAAAGGUCUAUUUUGAUAGGAUAGCUCAUGUGUGCCCCCCCCACCUACAUUA
rnacentral:tRNA from 1 species